rnacentral:lncRNA from 1 species
CCCUUUUCAUUCCCUCUUUUUCUCUCCCGAGUCUCUCUGUGUAACCAUCCAUCGAAUCCCCCAUCCCUCCCUUUUCUCACUCUGUAAUUUCCCUCAAAUCCCUCGCCGAUUCUCUCUCGCCAUUCUCAGUCUACCCUUUCUCAGCUUGCAGCUCCAUGCUCCACCUCGAGAUUAUAGCAUCCCUCCCUUUUCUCACUCUGUAAUUUCCCUCAAAUCCCUCGCCGAUUCUCUCUCGCCAUUCUCAGUCUACCCUUUCUCAGCUUGCAGCUCCAUGCUCCACCUCCAGAUUAUAGCAUCGGGUGUAAGGUUUUCCUUUUCUGUUUUCUUUUUCCCGAUUUGUUGAAUUUGUAUUUUAUUGUUUGCCUAUUACCCUUUGACGACAAGGUAGCAAUUGUGACGGCUUCCACUCAAGGCAUCGGCUCUUGAAGGCGCCUCCGUCGUCAUCUCCUCCCGCAAGCGUUGUAGAGUUUACCUUUUGAUUUGUAUGUGUUUCGAAGCCUGUGUUGAACUAUCUUAUUAAUAAAGUUUCUAAGGUUGUAGAGUUUACCUUUUGAUUUGUAUGUGUUUCGAAGCCUGUGUUGAUCCGUUUCGGAAUUGCAGUCGUUGAUAAGAUAGUUCUAAUGGUAAUUGUUUUAUCUUUCAUUAGGUGAACUUGGAACAUCUGGCAAAUUGGGAAGAGAAGCAGAUGUUCAAACAGUAAAUGGGUGUGUGUGUUUACAGAUGUGUGGAUGCAUUUAGUUUAUCUUCUCCAAAAGCAUCUUUAUAAUGAAGAUAACAUGAAUUUGCUAGGGUUUUUUUUUCAUUUUUUAUAUUUUGGGUAGAAAUUUGUUGUUGUUGUUUCUUACAAUUUGAGUAGAAAUUUGUUUCCAUUUUAGUAGGUUCAUGGAAGAUCACAGUACAGCUAGCUUCCCGUUGAAAAGUAAGCUUCUAUUGUAUUAGCUUGGGGCAGUUUAAUUUACUUGCCAGAAAAGAAAAAGUUAUAAAGCCUUGUUCCUGCUGUUGUGGUGUCUCCUUUUAGGUAGAAAUUAUAUCUUAAUGUGCUUAAGCACCUGAAUUUAGGCUAGGUCUAAUGAAAUGAUAUGCUAUAUUUUAUAGAUCAGUCACAAUAUUUUUGAACCUGAGGUUGUGGUGUUCACACUUUUUCUCUUAGGAUUUAGAGGACGAUACAGUGUGUGUAUGAUCUAAUUUGAGUGAAAUAUCCUUCUUGAUUUGCCUUAUUCUUUCAAGUGUUAUCAUAACUUUGUGUGUGAUUGAUCAUUGUGUAUAACCAAUAUACCAGACAACCAUAACCGAAAGCCAUGCCUGCAGAGACUGAACCAUAACCGAAGCCCAUGCCUGC